UCAAAAGCAGUUGCGGGUGCCGGUCCCCUCGCACUGAGUCCCGUCCCACCAGACAGAGGGGGAGAUUUUAGAGCACGCUCGUCAGGUUUAGGAGCAAAUGGUCGAGGUGACGGGGGCCACUAGAGUAAGGGUAGGGAGGAGUAGUGUAGCGGGCGCACUCGCUAACAGCAACUAUUUUUUUUAGGAGGGAGAGAUGAAGGCUUGACCUCGAGGAGAGAGAGAGACCGGCACUCCUCGAGAUUUGGGAUCGCCGUCGCCGUCCCCUCCGCGCGGCCCCUCGGUCUAGCGGCGGCGCUACCUCUCGGGGCACUUCCUCCUCCAGCCGCCCCUCGACCGCUACCUCUAGCUCAGCUCGCAGUGCCGGCUCCUGACCGCGGCGCGCGAGAGGGCGCAGCACGGGCGGCAGCGGCAGGAGGCGUGGUGGCGCGGCGCGCGGAAGCUGUGGCUCCAGCGGCCGCGGUCGAUGCGGUGGCCGAAGCAGCAGCUGUUCCGGGCGCCGUAGUAGGAGUGGUUGGCGGUGCAGCAGUUCGGGCCAGGACACCAGAGCCUCCGCUACAAGCACUUGGCCCUCCUCUAGGGACACAUGGGGGACAUGUCUCUGGGACAUGUACUAAAACCAAAAAAAGCGAUACUAGGUCCACGGUAUUUCAAGGAGUUCAUACUCCUCUAGGGAGAUCUGGGACUUCGUCGUAGACAACCCGAUCUUUAGGCUCAACAGCCGUUACUGUCGCCGCUUUUCCAAAGUUAAAACCGCCCUUGUGAACGAGCUGAACUAUCUCUUCGCGGAGUGAUGUUCUUCCUGCCCAUGUUACUAAAGUUGUGUAAGAUAUACGUCCGGCGUAGACCUUGAUUUCCACCGAGAUCACCAAGGGGUCAACAACUAACGGUUCCUUCUCGACAACGCGACUUACGACCUUCGUUUAGAAGGUCACGAAGACGAAAAAAGGAAGGUAAUCUUGCACACCAAUCCCGUGACUUAAACUAUGCACUAACAACCCUACGUAAACCAUAGUUCAGUCUUAGACAAAUAUAAGGAGCACCAUGUGACGUCUACUGGAAAGUUGUGUUUCCUAAGCUUCUUUGAGCUGCAGAACCUGACUCCUUACUUUGUCUCGUCUACCAUGCGGAACAAAGAGGUCGUCCGCUUUGACCUUACGACCAACAACUGAGACACCACGGUCUUCCUGGACGUGUAUUUGUAAACCUUGGACCACUACACGAUCAAGUGUAGUUACCCCUCCAACAUUGGGUCAAAGAGCGUUACCUCUGAAAUGAACUACUGUCGCAACCGUUCCUCCAUUUAAACGUCUAACUUUCUCCACCUCACGGAAACUGUCAUUUCAAUCUCCAACUUCUAAACGUGAGAUAUUGAGGUUUAGUAAAGAACCUUCAGUCACCACGACAGUAGGUAGGUGAAAGUAUGGUCGUCCGAUCUUUGAAGGCCAAGUUUACACCAGAACAUAUACAACGACUUCGUCCCAUGUACGAGAGAGCCCGUAGCCAAGGUGCGGUAAGUUAAUAGUUUUUCAAACGCCCUCUCCUAUAACUUUUAAAUCUACUGGAAUAACGUCAAUAAAGUUUCGACAGAUCCCCUCGUGCUCACGGAGAACUUAUACAUUUCAUGUGACUGGCAAUAGCCUUGUUCAGACAUGACCACUGUUAACUAGUUGUACCAACCAUACGCGGAGGAGUCAAUAUGUGAGCUUUACUGCGUUGACCAGAAACCUUACGUUUUAACCGAUAUGGUGAGCUUAGAGGGAAACAUCAAAGGGUAGCACGACCGGUAUACCUACGUUUGAGUUUAAGACAAAGUGGCAACUGACUUAGUUCAGGAUACCUAGAGUUUACGGUCGUGCUCAGACUUUUAUGCCGUCUACCUACGCAUUUUUACGUUUGUCUACUCCUCUAACGGUAUCUACCUAGGGUGAGACCGCUUCUAAGGUAGGAACUCUUUUUUUCCGCGGCCCACCUACUCCUCUAUCGACGACUCCCUUGAUAUAGUAGAAAACCUCUAAAUCUACUGUACUUUCUACCGCGUAACUCCGUAGGAAGGUCACACCUUCCGAGGCUGGAACGAGCCUGUUAUAGUUCAUUACGAAGUAACCGUCUUGUUCAUUAACUCGGUCGAGAACAUUACAAACUCCACGUACACGGUGGUUAUACGUACGAACUACCUCACGUAAGAGUUGUAAAGAAACCUUGGCCACACUAUUAUAUAGUAAGACUGACAGAUCCAGACCAACGGCAGCUAUCCUUAUGUCAACGACAUAGAUAGAGACUAUAUUACGAGAGAAAACGACGUAUAGGGUAACUUUAUGGACGUCUCCAACAAAAAGACGUAGGACAAGUAUUAAAACGUGACCAACGGAUACUAGGAAGACGUGACCCUCGACCUCGUAGACAAUAAGCCCGACGAUUCGAAGAAGGACUCGGACGGAACGCGGCUCCUCUAAGACAGAUGGAUCAACCCGAUUCAUCUUCGAAUGUUCGAUGUAGUUCCUUUAGUUGGUAUUGGUUAGGAACGUGUCGACAAUUAUAACCGAGUCGACUGACGGGUGCUAUAGCACGUUAUUUAUACCUCCAGUAACUCGAACUAUGACUAAAGCCGUCGAGUAAAAGCCCAUAUAACUGCCUACUCGUUCCUUCUCAAGUUCGCAAUACCCGUUCGAAAAGGUGGGUCUAGUUUUCUUUUUUCUUUUCGUGUUUUGCCGUCGAAUGCGGGUUCGAGUUUAUACCAACAUCGUCAAGUCUCCUGGUAGUUAAGCAAUCUCCAUAUGGUUAUAUACGUUAUUCAGUUCAGGAACUCUUCUAUUAGAGCCCAUGAGGACCUGGUAAAGCAGAAUAGUUACCUUAAGCUUCCGGCUACGGUGAACAGUCUGAAGACCUCCACCUUGAAAUAGGUUGAAACGAAAGCUUUCGUUCUUCAAUACCUAACUCGCUAUUGACCCACGUCCGAGAGCGAUUCUUCCUGGGACACGCGUCUGUUCAGAACGCCCAGUUUCCAACAAACCGACCUAGUUUUCGCCUUUUCGAAGACCUUGUUCCUCUGUACUAAGAUCGAUAGUUGUUCCUUGGUUAUUGUACGAAAGAACUGUAACUCUUACGAACGGUUUUCAACCUGGUUAGAUAGCUAAGUCUACCGGACGAAUUGUACUGUUAUAAAGCAGUCCCUUUUCUUUAACUGGAAUAACAACCUUGGCUACAUUCUCUACCAUUACCAAGUUGUUCCUACCACUUAACCACACCUAGGUAUUAAGUCCUAGGAGUAAGUCGUCACGCACGUGAACCGAAAAACGGGCUCCUUCCAGUACCUCAAAUACAACGAUCUACCACGGUACCUUCAGGGCAUGUAUCUAUACCGGAAAUACGAGAGGUCACCUAUCAACUUCAAUUGCCCGUUGGUUGAGGUCUAAACCUCAGGAAAUAAGUUCACCACUUCCCUAACCUUCUAGCACUCAAGCAGUCCCACUUCUGGCAGGUAAACUUGCCUUUUGGUGCGCACGAGUGAGACUUUGUCCUGGAGGUGAUGACCGGUUGGACCCUCGAGUGAAAACUUGGCCUCUGACUGUGUACCUUCUCCUCUUGUUAUUUCCGCAACGUCGGUUGGCCCCGAACUAAAUAAGACGAAAGAACACUAUAAAAGUCGCCCGGAUCCGGAAGAGAUCCUUCCGUUCGUACCUCUCCGCUCCUUGAGACUUUACGAACAGUACGGCCACUCGAUCUUAGUCCCACCCCGUGAUCCUACAUCACAUUAAGUAUCUACUGUAUUCCUAAAAUUACGGACACCUAUUAACCUGACGCCCCACACAGAAAAGACAUGGAUAACCUAUAUAAAAAAAUAAGAGGACAUCUUCGUUAUUUGGUAAAUCGCUAAAUCGAGAGCAGAGUUGACCUCAUAAAAAGACGUCUCGUGAAGCAAACGUCAAAAACCUACAUCACCACGACUACGAGCCAGUAACUCAAAAACCUGGUUCGAUAAGACAUACACUUCGAAAGGAAACUCUAAACCUGGAGUACAG
rnacentral:rRNA from 1 species